rnacentral:lncRNA from 1 species
UUUUUUUUUUUUUUUUUUUGCCAUGCCCAGAACAUGAGGAAGUUCCCAGGUCAGGGACUGAACCCAUGCCACAGCAGGGACCUGAGGCACAGCAGCAACAAUGCUGGAUCCUUAACCCACUAGGCCACCAGGGAACCCCCUUUUUUUUUUUUUUAAUGGCCACAACUGCAGCAUAUGGAAGUUCUCAGACCAGGGAUUGAAUCCGAGCAGCUGCUGUGACCUAUGCCAGAAGUGCAGCAACAAUGGAUUCUUUAACCUACUAUGCUGGACCAGGGAUCAAAUCUGCCCACACCUCUGUAUCAACCUGAGACACUGCAGUCAGAUUCUUCAUCUGCUACACCACAGUGAGAACUCCAAUAUUAUACUUUUACCUGGAGUUAAUAACCACCCAGAAUGAAGGGGGGAUUUGACUAAGACUAGAAGAGAUUUAGGGCCAGUUAUUUUGAAUCAUUUCUGUCUGGCUCAUACUUAUUUUCUCUUGACUUUUUUUUUCCCCUCUCACAGGGAAAAAAUAAAACUGAACAAUUCUAUAACAAAGCCUGUGAACCUUCUGUUCAUCAGAAACAUUUCUGAACAGAGUGCUAGAUUCUAUCAAACUAGCCCAAAUUAGAGAAAGAUGACAAAUCUCUCCAGCAUCUGGAGCCUUCCAGGCAAAAAGACUAAAGUCAGGUAUCUGAUGCCAACAGAAAAAAAACUAGAGAAAUAUCCUCAUCAGGGGCCACACAAUACAUGAUGCUGCCUGGCAUACUCUAGCAGUGUCACUGGGAAUGCCCACUGUUCCCAAAACAAAGACAUACCAAACAGUUACCUCCUGGCUUCCCCAUAGAAACUGCCAGGAAAAAAAAACCUACCAGUGCCAGGAGUCACCUUGGACUUUAUAAUGUGGACUCCUGCCCACCAGUCCUGGGUAGACUACCUCAACAAUACUCUCACCUGUCCAUUGUGCCAAAAGGUACACACAGAAGGCUGCCUUCUUUACAAGUCAAGGAAACUGAACCUCUCAUCCAUGAAUAGCAGCCAGCCACACUCCUAUUACUGAUACUACUGAGAAAAGUACACUCUAGGAGUUCCCGUCGUGGUGCAGUGGUUAAGAGCUUAUGCAGGUCAAAAAGCAAGCAAGAGGUAGCAAUGGGAUGACUCCAAAGAAAUCAAACACCCUAAGCCUUCUUUCCAGGAGUUUCUGAGGUGGCUCCAUCUGACUAAAAGGUGGUCAAAAACAUUUUUCAGCAAUCACCUUGCCUUCAAAGCAACAAUUAAAGCUGUUUUUAUUUUAUUUGAUCAAGUGAUUUUCCAGAUGGAUACUAAGAGAUACUUCAAAUAAUUUAUUAGCUAAAUGCCUUGAUUUUAAAUUUCUUCCUUUUUUUCUGGCCAAAAUAGAGAGAGAGAGAGCAAAGGCAAGAAUUUCAUUUAACUAGAUCAGAAUGGAGUUUAACAAUUAAAGAAAAAAAAGCAUUCAAAUAUAAUUUAUGCAGUAAAAAUUAAGAGGCAAGGAAUUUCAAAUAGACUGAGUCUUACCUUAAUUUUAUUCUUCCUAUUCUAGCAGACAGCACUCCAAGCCAUCAGCAGACACUCCCAUCUUACACACAGUGAACCAGACAAAAGGAGUAAGCAACACCUUCAUGCUCCCAAAACCACAGUGGAAAGGAAAGGCUUCCUGGGGAACCUAAGCACAUAUAUAGUAUUUGUGAAACACAGCUUACCAAGACACACACAGAAACAAAGUGUUUACCUUGGGGUGUGUCUACAGGCAUACUUAAACAGGUGUGUUUAAAUACUAAUGCAAAAACAAUCACAUACCAUUACGAAUUUUACCCAGGGAAAUAUAUAUGAAGAUAAUCAAUUGUCACUAGUCAAAAUCAAUACUUUAUAAAAACUUUAUUGAAUGGUUUUACAGAUUAAAAGUUUGAUAUGCCUGAAUCACUUCUUCCUUCAUAGACCUAUAGCCAUUUCUAAAAUAUGAACCACUACUAUUAAAACGUGAAAAGUAUCACCACUGUGGUGGUGCCCAAUACAGUGCCUGGCAUAAGUCAAUAGAUAUUGGUUUAUGAAAGAAUAAAGUAUUUAAGAUAAAAAAAUUAAAAGAAAGAGACAGAGAGACAUACAGAGAGAAAGAAUACAGUUUAAGGGAAAUAUGUGAUUUCUUAAUGAUUAAGGGAAAAACCAAUCCCCAGAACUAUCAGUACAACAGAGAGAAAUGGCCAGUAUUACCUCAUAUCUAAUCUAAAAAUUUAUACUCUAUACUCCAAUGAAGCAACACACUUCCUAAUGCUCUAAACAAACUCGAAAUGUGCAAUGAUUCGGACACUUUUUUUUUUCAUAUAGGAUUUGAUAUCUCAUCUACAGAGACCACACCAACUUUUGCCUGAAUACUGAACACAGAUCUCUGGUGCAUAGUUCAGGUGUUUGGAGUUUGCACACUGCGUUUUAAUGAUACAGACGCAUCCAGUGUACAUAUCAAAUUCAGUGAAGAUAGACAACACUUCCAGUGAAGAUAAUGUCCUGGGAGAGUUGAAAUAAAAGUCACUAAGAUUUAACAGAUUCAAUGUAAUGACUUCAUGGUAGUAGGAGAAAAUGAAGCUUCAUGGAUAUAGGGAUAUAACUAGUUUUUAACAACAUAAACUGUUAGAGUUUUCACAUUAAACAAUGACACAGAAAUUAGUGAAAAGAGGCUUAAAGUAAUUUAAUUUAUGAGAAUUGGAUUGAAAAUCCCUAGAAUCUACAUAUAUUAUGGUGUCUAGGUUUACCUAACAUCAUAAACAAUAGCCAUAAUGCUGAAAAGAAAGUGUAAGUCACAAUUCAGAAACAAAGGAGAAAAAAAAAAUGAACAGAGAAAGGCUUUGAAUCCAAAUACCACAAAGAAAUUCUUUACUUAAAAUACUGUCAAUGGCAGCUAUCA